rnacentral:rRNA from 1 species
GGGGGGGGGGGGGGGCGGGCGGGGGAGGUGGGGGGCGGACGGGGAGGGGCGGGGUGUGGGGGGUGGUCGAGUGGCGAACGGGUGGGUAACACGUGAGUGACCUGCCCGUGACUUUGGGAUCACUUCAGGAACCUGGGGCUAAUACCGGAUAGGCGCUCCUGCUGCAUGGUGGGGGUUGGAAAGUUUCGGCGGUUGGGGAUGGACUCGCGGCUUAUCAGCUUGUUGGUGGGGUAGUGGCUUACCAAGGCUUUGACGGGUAGCCGGCCUGAGAGGGUGACCGGCCACAUUGGGACUGAGAUACGGCCCAGACUCCUACGGGAGGCAGCAGUGGGGAAUAUUGCACAAUGGGCGGAAGCCUGAUGCAGCAACGCCGCGUGCGGGAUGACGGCCUUCGGGUUGUAAACCGCUUUCGCCUGUGACGAAGCGUGAGUGACGGUAAUGGGUAAAGAAGCACCGGCUAACUACGUG